rnacentral:lncRNA from 1 species
GGGGGGGAGAUGUGGGGCAGGGGGAGCGCUAUGGGGCUGGGGGUGUUGCUGUGGGGCUAGGGGUGUAUCUAUGGGGCUGGGGAUAUGGUUAUGGGGCUGGGGGGAUGUCUCUGUGGGUCCGGGGCUGUCCCUAUGGGGCUGGGGGGGAUCCUUACGGGUCCGGGGGCAUCCCUAUGGGGCUGGGGGUCUCCCUAUGGGUCCAGGGGGGGAUCUGUGGGGCUGGGCUCUAUCUAUGGGUCCGGGCCGUCCCUGUCCCCAGCUCGGCGCUGUCCUGGUGGUCGUCGGGGACGGGGGCUGCGGGGCUGGGGGGGGCCUUGGCCUACCUGGGGCUGACGCAGGCCGGGCUCAGCCCCCCCCGGGCGCUGCUGCCCCUGCUGCUGCUGCCGCCGCUCACGCUGCUCAGUUAUUUUUGCCUCCUGCGGCCCCCCGGGGACCCUCCCCCAGCAGAGGAGCCGCUGCUGGGGCCCAGCCCCGAUGUGGGGCUGGGGCUGGGGCAGAAGUGGAAGGUGCUGAAGCGCAUCUCCAGGCACAUGCUGCCCCUCGGCUUCGUCUACUUCGCUGAGUACUUCAGCAACCAGGGCCU